AGAACUGAUUUUCGAUAUCAGUGUUCCUUUAAGCGUUCAAAAACCAAUUUCAAAAAUUUCAAAAAAAUUUUUUUUGAUAAAAAUGUUCAAAUUAUUCGGUUUUUUGGUUGUGCUAGCACUUUUUGCAGUAGCAAUUGCAUUACCAUCAGCAAGUCCAAUUGCAGGACCAUCUCCAGUUGCUAAUCCUCAGUUCUACUAUGGAUCACCAUACGCUUACGGUUAUGGUGGCUAUCCAUAUGCAUAUUCUUAUUAUGGAUAAAAAUUUUCUGAACUACAAAGCACAACAACGACAAUAAAAAUGAAAAGACCGGCGAUUGAGAACUCAUUGAUAAGGUACAACAGUAAGAUAAAAAUAAAGUUGAAAACUAAAAGAACAAAAUAUUCAAAAUUUAUUGUAAAUUUUUUUUAAUUAUUUUUUUUUUUUGAUAAUUAAAAUGUGUAUAUAAAAUGCAAA